rnacentral:rRNA from 1 species
UACGGGGGGGGCAAGCGUUGUUCGGAAUUACUGGGCGUAAAGGGCGCGUAGGCGGUUCGAUAAGUCAGCUGUGAAAACCAUGGGCUUAACUCAUGGCCUGCAGUUGAGACUGUCUGGCUUGAGUAUGGGAGAGGAUGUGGGAAUUCCUGGUGUAGCGGUGGAAUGCGCAGAUAUCAGGAGGAACACCGAUAGCGAAGGCAGCUCGCUGGGACGGUACUGACGCUGAGGCGCGAAAGCGUGGGGAGCGAACAGG